GAUGAACGCUGGCGGCGUGCCUAAUACAUGCAAGUCGAGCGAACAGACGAGGAGCUUGCUCCUCUGACGUUAGCGGCGGACGGGUGAGUAACACGUGGAUAACCUACCUAUAAGACUGGGAUAACUUCGGGAAACCGGAGCUAAUACCGGAUAAUAUAUUGACCCGCAUGGUUCAAUAGUGACAGACGGUUUUGCUGUCACUUAUAGCUGGAUCCGCGCCGCAUUAGCUAGUUGGUAAGGUAACGGCUUACCAAGGCAACGAUGCGUAGCCGACCUGAGAGGGUGAUCGGCCACACUGGAACUGAGACACGGUCCAGACUCCUACGGGAGGCAGCAGUAGGGAAUCUUCCGCAAUGGGCGAAAGCCUGACGGAGCAACGCCGCGUGAGUGAUGAAGGUCUUCGGAUCGUAAAACUCUGUUAUUAGGGAAGAACAAAUGUGUAAGUAACUAUGCACGUCUUGACGGUACCUAAUCAGAAAGCCACGGCUAACUACGUG
rnacentral:rRNA from 1 species